rnacentral:rRNA from 1 species
GACGAAGGGGGCUAGCGUUGUUCGGAAUCACUGGGCGUAAAGCGCACGUAGGCGGCUUUCUAAGUCGGGUGUGAAAUCCUGGAGCUCAACUCCAGAACUGCCUUCGAUACUGGAAAGCUAGAGUCCGGGAGAGGUGAGUGGAACUGCGAGUGUAGAGGUGAAAUUCGUAGAUAUUCGCAAGAACACCAGUGGCGAAGGCGGCUCACUGGCCCGGUCCUGACGCUGAGGUGCGAAAGCGUGGGGAGCAAACAGG